GCUUGAAAGAAAGCAAAGAAAAUGGAAAUACGGUAGCAUGAAGGAAGGAAAGAGUGAAGAUAAUGAAGCACUGAAAUCUCGCACUAGAAAUCCCCUUAAAAAGGAGUUGCUCCGGUCCUCAUCAGCUACCAGGACGUGUCAAGCCAUAGAAAGUGAAGUUUCACAAACCAUCCUUCCCCACAGACAAGUAUGUAAAUCAUAACUGAUUAAACAGAAUUAUGUCUUGGUAAUUUGGAACUGGACACAGAUAAUUCUAACUACUCUUUAAAAAUUUUUUUUAAUUAUUGUGAGAGAGAGAGUGCAAGUCGGGUAGGGAGAGAGGGAGGGAAAGAAUCCCAAGCAGGCUCUGCACUGUCAGCACAGAACCCAACACGGGGCUCGAACUCACAAACAGUGAGAUCAUGACCUGAGCUGAGAUUGAAGUCUGUUGUUUAACGAACUGAGCCAUCCAGGUGCCCCAAUAAUUCUAACUACCCUUAAGUGGAGCUAUGUUGUGCAGGGAGAGAAGGUGUAUGGUGUAUACUAAGGUGUUUGGUAGAAUGGUGGAAUGAACAGCAUUGUAAAGUAGAAUUUUGGCUUUUGUAUUCUAGUCCCUAGCCACCCAUUCUGCUGCCCUUCUGGUUGCUGAUAUCCCAAAAUGCCAGGUCUGCUUUUUGCCAUAUUUUGGCAGCAUUCUAGUUGCUGGACUACCAUUGCUCUCAAACCUUGCCAGGCCCUGGCCUUUUACAAGAUGAUAAUCUAAGAAAACGGAUCACUAUUGACGUCUUCAUGAAUGCUUACUUAUUAGGGGACAUCUUCCCAGGAUCUUUGUGUAGUUUACUGGAGGUUUUUACAACAAUGACCUAAUCUAGUUGAAUGACUCCAAACUUGAGACUUCCAGGAUGCAGGUGCAUAUGCUGUCCUCCAAAUUCCAGGUGAACAAGUGGUAGACUUUCCACAUAAAAGUCCAACUUUUGAUCUGCCUAGGGCCCUAAAGAGUUAAGAAAUUUACCUUUCUCUUAGUCUUUUUUUUUUUUUUUUCUUAACUAUACCAAAAUUGCAUAUGAGGCCUCCCUUAUAGGUAGAAUGUUAUGGACCAAGGUAUUUUGGUAGCAUAAUGAGAUAAUAUACAUGAAGACGCUUUGAAAAAUAUACAAUCUUAUAUAAACUGUAAGGUUCUAUGAUUAAAAUUAAUUUUAUCAUUUUUUUUAAGUAGGCUCCACCCCUACGUGGGGCUUGAACUCACAACCCUGAGAUCAAGUCACAACCCUGAGAUCAAGAGUCAGAUGCUCUACCAACUGAGCCUCCCAGGUGUCCCUAAAAUUUUAGAGCACAUUAUUCAUUACUGUAUUAAUAUUACUAUAAUGGUAAUAAAAUGGGAAGCUGUUAAACACAUAUCCAUCUUUCCAACAGUGUUGUCCUAAGUCCAGGAGGAAGCUUUCAAAACAGGAGCCUGGCCAAUUACAAACCUUUCUCUGGACUUACUCUCCUCACCCCAGACCCAGCUACUAAGGAAGCCAGUUUUGGAACAUGGAAAGAUGGAUUGGAUGCAGUUAGGAGCCCUGAUCUCAUCUUGAUGUCAGGUGUGUGAAAUCCAGCACAGUUCAGAGGGGCCUCAAGCUCUUGGGGCAGAGCCAGUAAGUGUUGCUCCAGACACACCUUUGCAGGGCCCUCUCUCCUUGCUCAUGUAUAAUAUUUUCUCUUUUUGUAACUUGGCCUCAGUGAAAAAGAAUAUUUUUAGUAAGCUACUCAUUGUUUACUGAAAGCAGCCUUAAAAAGCCCAGGGCAAGGGCUCUGUUAAGUAAACCCAAAAGUGGAAGACAGACUUCACUCCUCUUAAUUGGGCACUGGAGCACUUGCCUUUAGAGGAAGUGAGUAAAGCAGACAUCACAGGAAUUAUGAGUGAUGUGCCUGAACACAGAUCUGUGCAGGGGUUCUGCUGGGCACAGAAACUCACUGACUGUACACCAAGUAUUCACCCAGUCUGUUAGACGACCAGAGGUUCAGAGAAAUUAAAAGUACUAAGAACCCAGAGCUAGGAGGACUAGGGUGGAACAUGUGAGGCACUCACCUUGGGCACAACAUGUAAGUAAAUUUUAGCAAUCAAGAAAUAAUACUAUGGUGCAAUAGUUUAAAUAGACAAGAUCUGACAGGGCCAGAUUAGGGUAGGGUGGGUGAAGUGAGACAUGCAAGCACAGGGUCAGAUCUUGUGUUUAUUUAAAAUGAAAUCUGUUGAUUAGGGACUUUUUUUUUUUUUAAUGUUUAUUCAUGAGAGGGAGAGAGACAGAGCAUGAGCCGGGGAGGGGCAGAGAGAGGGAGACACAGAAUCUGAAGCAGGUUCCAGACUCUGAGCUGUCAACACAGAGCCCCAACGCGGGGCUCAAACUCACAAACUGUGAGAUAAUGACCUGAGCUGAAGUCAGAUGCUUAACCGACUGAGCCACCCAGGUACCCCAAAUGGAGACUUUUUUUGCAUUAAUUUUGGUUUUUUAGAAAAUAUUACAUUAAAAUGGUCUUUAUCUUGAUUACUGAGUUUUUCGGCACCUCCCCCGCUGAAUUUUAUGCCUGUGGUGAGUGCCUCACUUGCCUCUCCCAAAUCUCAGCUCUGGACAUCAUCUCCUCACUGUGUAGGAAAUACUAAAGUAAACAAACAGACAUGGCUUCUUCCCUCAAGGAAAUAAUGCAAUGUCUCCAAUUGCUUUGAAAAACAAAUGAAAGGAUUUAAGUAGAUUAUCUAAAAGCAUUGGUAAUAAUAUAAAUUAAUAAUCCACUUAUGUCAGAGUUUAUGCUUCUAGUAAUGGCAGGCUAGGUGGUUCAUGCCAACACCCUCACUGAAAACAACUGAAACUUCUGACUUAAAAAAAAAGAAA